rnacentral:rRNA from 1 species
AGUAACGCGUGAGGAACCUGCCUCAAAGAGGGGGACAACAGUUGGAAACGACUGCUAAUACCGCAUAAGCCCACGGCUCGGCAUCGAGCAGAGGGAAAAGGAGCAAUCCGCUUUGAGAUGGCCUCGCGUCCGAUUAGCUAGUUGGUGAGGUAAUGGCCCACCAAGGCGACGAUCGGUAGCCGGACUGAGAGGUUGAACGGCCACAUUGGGACUGAGACACGGCCCAGACUCCUACGGGAGGCAGCAGUGGGGAAUAUUGCACAAUGGGGGAAACCCUGAUGCAGCGACGCCGCGUGGAGGAAGAAGGUCUUCGGAUUGUAAACUCCUGUUGUUGAGGAAGAUAAUGACGGUACUCAACAAGGAAGUGACGGCUAACUACGUGCCAGCAGCCGCGGUAAAACGUAGGUCACAAGCGUUGUCCGGAAUUACUGGGUGUAAAGGGAGCGCAGGCGGGAAGACAAGUUGGAAGUGAAAUCUAUGGGCUCAACCCAUAAACUGCUUUCAAAACUGUUUUUCUUGAGUAGUGCAGAGGUAGGCGGAAUUCCCGGUGUAGCGGUGGAAUGCGUAGAUAUCGGGAGGAACACCAGUGGCGAAGGCGGCCUACUGGGCACCAACUGACGCUGAGGCUCGAAAGUGUGGGUAGCAAACAGGAUUAGAUACCCUGGUAGUCCACACCGUAAACGAUGAUUACUAGGUGUUGGAGGAUUGACCCCUUCAGUGCCGCAGUUAACACAAUAAGUAAUCCACCUGGGG